rnacentral:rRNA from 1 species
GUGGGGAAUUUUGGACAAUGGGCGCAAGCCUGAUCCAGCCAUUCCGCGUGCAGGAUGAAGGCCUUCGGGUUGUAAACUGCUUUUGUACGGAACGAAAAGGUUCUCUCUAAUACAGGGGGCUGAUGACGGUACCGUAAGAAUAAGCACCGGCUAACUACGUGCCAGCAGCCGCGGUAAUACGUAGGGUGCAAGCGUUAAUCGGAAUUACUGGGCGUAAAGCGUUCGCAGGCGGUGAUGUAAGACAGAUGUGAAAUCCCCGGGCUCAACCUGGGAACUGCAUUUGUGACUGCAUUGCUGGAGUGCGGCAGAGGGGGAUGGAAUUCCGCGUGUACCAGUGAAAUGCGUAGAUAUGCGGAGGAACACCGAUGGCGAAGGCAAUCCCCUGGGCCUGCACUGACGCUCAUGCACGAAAGCGUGGGGAGCAAACAGGAUUAGAUACCCCGGUAGUCC